GGGAGUGAAUAGGGGCUGGUGUCCCUCCCGGUCUUCAAAACCGUGUGCGGCGUCGCAAGGCGCUGGGUGGGUUCGAUUCCUACCCGCUCCCGCCA
rnacentral:tRNA from 1 species